rnacentral:rRNA from 1 species
AGUGAACGCUGGCGGUAGGCCUAACACAUGCAAGUCGAACGGCAGCACAGGAGAGCUUGCUCUCUGGGUGGCGAGUGGCGGACGGGUGAGGAAUACAUCGGAAUCUACUUUUUCGUGGGGGAUAACGUAGGGAAACUUACGCUAAUACCGCAUACGACCUACGGGUGGAAGCAGGGGACCUUCGGGCCUUGCGCGAUUGAAUGAGCCGAUGUCGGAUUAGCUAGUUGGCGGGGUAAAGGCCCACCAAGGCGACGACCCGUAGCUGGUCUGAGAGGAUGAUCAGCCACACUGGAACUGAGACACGGUCCAGACUCCUACGGGAGGCAGCAGUGGGGAAUAUUGGACAAUGGGCGCAAGCCUGAUCCAGCCAUACCGCAUGGGUGAAGAAGGCCUUCGGGUUGUAAAGCCCUUUUGUUGGGAAAGAAAUCCAGCUGGCUAAUACCCGGUUGGGAUGACGGUACCCAAAGAAUAAGCACCGGCUAACUUCGUGCCAGCCGCCGCAGUAA